rnacentral:rRNA from 1 species
AUUGAACGCUGGCGGCAGGCCUAACACAUGCAAGUCGAGCGGUAGCACAGAGAGCUUGCUCUCGGGUGACGAGCGGCGGACGGGUGAGUAAUGUCUGGGAAACUGCCUGAUGGAGGGGGAUAACUACUGGAAACGGUAGCUAAUACCGCAUAACGUCGCAAGACCAAAGAGGGGGACCUUCGGGCCUCUUGCCAUCAGAUGUGCCCAGAUGGGAUUAGCUAGUAGGUGGGGUAACGGCUCACCUAGGCGACGAUCCCUAGCUGGUCUGAGAGGAUGACCAGCCACACUGGAACUGAGACACGGUCCAGACUCCUACGGGAGGCAGCAGUGGGGAAUAUUGCACAAUGGGCGCAAGCCUGAUGCAGCCAUGCCGCGUGUAUGAAGAAGGCCUUCGGGUCGUAAAGUACUUUCAGCGGGGAGGAAGGCGAUAAGGUUAAUAACCUUGUCGAUUGACGUUACCCGCAGAAGAAGCACCGGCUAACUCCGUGCCAGCAGCCGCCGUAA